CAGCACCUUCAGGAGUAAAUGUCAGUUGGCUUUUCAUAGCCGAUCAUUAAGAGUAUCUCUACCGCUCUGCGGUCUCUCACAGUUUAAUGUUGACAAUGUUAAAAUAAAGAAAUAUGCUGCUUUUCAGUGAGCCAUCCAGCUGAUCUCUCCAGUGCCCGAAUCAAGACGACUGGUUACGACAGAUCGUCCAACAGAAGCGGUACAAUUUCCUCAAGCUCUUCAAAGGUCUCUGAUGACUGGAGACUAUACAUCUCUUGCCAACAGAAAAUAUAUAAAGGGCUGGAAAGCUUAAGUGUUUAGUUUAGGUCGACUGCAGUUGGAGGGGUGUCUUCUUUUGUGAUCUUGGACACCUCAAUUAUCCGUGGAGUUACAAAAUAUAUCAGAGGGUUUGGAAUUUGUUAAUUCAGUAUAUUAACUACCAUACAAAGCUCUCAAACUACUAAUGUAUACACUAAAAAGUAAUCUUCCUGAUACUAGGGUUGGCACAAUUAUCAUAUAGUCGUGAAACCAACAAUUAUGGACAAUAACGUUGAACCAAAACAAACAGUCGUCAUAAUCGCCUUAAUACGUUCAUUUUAGGAGAAGGGGGAUCCUACUUUAUAUUCAAGAACAUACAGUUUACCCAAUAGAAGUUUUAAAUUUUUAAAUUAAGUGGGUAAAGUUGGCAAUCAUUUUAUGAGGAGAAUGACACGGUCAGGAGUAGGAGAUUCCUUUUCAAAGGUUCCAAGCGGUCAAAACCAUACGUUUUUGAGACGGGUGUCAACGAAGUUGUUGUAUUAGUUAGGUAAAGAUGCAUUACAAGCAAAAAAAUGUUUUCUACAAAUCACAAUCAUGACAAUAUCUACCCUUUGCAUGACAAUUAAUCAUUACCCAAAAUUCCAUAAUGCUCACAGCGUCAAUAGUAAGUAGUGUAUGAUAUUAUAUAAUAAAAUAUAUUGUUGCGGCCUUAACCCAGUACCUGGAAACCUCGUCAAGAAAUUUGGCCCAAUGGGAAUAUAUGGAACAGUAGUGCAGUUUGUGACUGACAGAUCUGCUUCGAGGACUCCGUCUACUUAGAGGGCUCCGUCUGCUUCGAGGGCUCCGUCUGCUUCGAGGGCUCCGUCUGCUUCGAGGGCUCCGUCUGCUUCGAGGGCUCUGUCUGCUUCGAGGGCUCCGUCUGCUUAGAGGGCUCCGUCUGCUUCGAGGGCUCUGUCUGCUUGGAGGGCUCCGUCUGGCUUAGAGGGCUCCGUCUGCUUCGAGGGCUCCGUCUGCUUCGAGGGCUCCGUCUGUUUCGAGGGCUCCGUCUGCUUAGAGCAACAAUUUUUUCAAAUUUGGGUCGUGGGAGGUUUUGAAUGGGUCGUGGGUGUUGAGUAACAAAAAAAACAUUUGGAAGUAAAGUGUUUCCAAAUAUUGUGUAUAGACACAUGUGUAACUGUCAUGAAUGGAACAAAAUUAAUUUGAUAGUCCACAUUCUAGCCUCGGAAAUCCCAGACCUAUGCUGGAACAUUGUUACGUUGUUGUAGGCAGCCCGUCUGCCUGUAGGGAGGCAGUCAACACUCCAUUUUCAUCUGUUUUCAUAUCAGUUACCUAGUCUCACCUAUAGGCCUUUUUAGUAGUACUAUAUUUUUUGGAUAGUCAUAGCCAGCUAGCUAACAUAGUAUCCCUCUGUUUGUGCCGGGUGUUUGAGUAUCUAAACUAGCCAGCUGCAUUUGCUAGCAAAGUAAGUGAAACUGAAAGGGAAAGAAAGCUACUCCAUUUUUUA